GAUGAACGCUCGCGGGAGGCCUAACACAUGCAAGCCGAGCGGUAUUUGUUCUUCGGAACAGAGAGAGCGGCGCACGGGUGCGGAACACGUGUGCAACCUGCCUUUAUCUGGGGGAUAGCCUUUCGAAAGGAAGAUUAAUACCCCAUAAUAUAUUGAGUGGCAUCAUUUGAUAUUGAAAACUCCGGUGGAUAGAGAUGGGCACGCGCAAGAUUAGAUAGUUGGUGAGGUAACGGCUCACCAAGUCAAUGAUCUUUAGGGGGCCUGAGAGGGUGAUCCCCCACACUGGUACUGAGACACGGACCAGACUCCUACGGGAGGCAGCAGUGAGGAAUAUUGGACAAUGGGUUAGCGCCUGAUCCAGCCAUCCCGCGUGAAGGACGACGGCCCUAUGGGUUGUAAACUUCUUUUGUAUAGGGAUAAACCUACUCUCGUGAGAGUAGCUGAAGGUACUAUACGAAUAAGCACCGGCUAACUCCGUG
rnacentral:rRNA from 1 species